rnacentral:RNase_P_RNA from 1 species
CAGAGCAGGAUAGUGGUCGCCCUACCCGCCUUUGGCGGGUGUAAAAAGUGAAGAGUGAUCUGAGCUUUUUACUCCGGGGAGGAAAGUCCGAGCUCUUCAGGGCAAGGCGGUCGUUAAUAGCGACUGGGGGCAACCCCAAGGAAAGUGCCACAGAAAGGGAAACCGCCCUGACAUUCGUCGGGGUAAGGGUGAAAAGGUGAGGUAAGAGCUCACCAGUUGAGGUGGUGACAUCUCAAGCUUGGAAAACCCCGCCUUGAGCAAGGUCGAAUAGGUUCCGCGUUGAGAAGUGCCCCUUCAAAUCCCGUCCGUUAGAAGCGGAUCAGGGAGGCGGAACGGGUAGUGACCGCAAGAGUCUGGUCGCAAUACCAGGCCUUAGAUGAAUGACCACAUAAACAGAACUCGGCUUAAAGCCUGCUCUGACAC